rnacentral:rRNA from 1 species
ACUCAAAUGAAUAGACGGGGACCCGCACAAGCGGUGGAGCAUGUGGAUUAAUUCGAUACUAACCGAAGAACCUUACCUAGGUUUGACAUCGAGAGCAAGACGUAGAGAUACGUUCCUCCCCCACAAGGGGACUCAAAGACACUUGUUGCAUGGCUGUCGUCAGCUCGUGCCGUGAGGUGUACGGUUAAGUCCGCCAACGAGCGCAACCCUCGUCCUGUGUUACCAGCAUGAAAGAUGGGGACUCACAGGAGACCGCCGGUGUAAGCCGGAGGAAGGUGAGGAUGAUGUCAAGUCAGCAUGGCAGUUACAUCUAGGGCUUCACACAUGCUACAAUGGACGAAACAAAGGGCAGCAAUACCGCGAGGUGGAGCCAAUCCCAAAAAUACGUCCUCAGUUCAGAUUGUAGUCUGCAACUCGACUACAUGAAGGCGGAAUCGCUAGUAAACGCAGGUCAGCUAUACUGCGUUGAAUACGUUCCCGGGUCUUGUACACACCGCCCGU